AAACAUUAGAAGAGCUCCAGAAUGAUGAAAAAUUUACUGAGAUUGAAACCUUUUUGUCUAUCAGUAAGAAAAUAAUCUCAAACAGUAAUCUCUCUGAAUUUACCAACGAAGCUGCAAGUUUCAUACAACACAGUGAGUCAAGUUCUGGUGACUGGUUCUGGCCGCUUGUGAAGAGCGUGACGAUCAAGAUUCCAGACUGUCACAAACUCCUGGAGCACAUUGUACUUCUUGAUCUUCCUGGUACUGGAGACUGCAAUAAGAUUAGAGAUGACCUGUGGAAAACUAAACUGAGAGAGUGCUCUUCUGUGUGGAUUGUAAGCACCAUCAAUCGUGCAAAUCACUGACAGAGACCCCUAGGGGAUGUUAAAACACUGCAUUGAAGA